GACGAACGCUGGCGGCGUGCUUAACACAUGCAAGUCGAACGAAGUGGCGAACGGGGGAGUAUUACGUGGGUAACACGCCCUCCUUUUUGGGAUAAACCUUGGGAAAGGGGUGCAAUACCGGAUAAAGGGGGAUGGGCGCUCGGCCUAUCAGCUAGUUGGUGGGGUGAUGGCCUAACAAGGCGGUGACGGGUAGCCGGGCUGAGAGGGUGACCGGGCACAUUGGGACUGAGAUACGUCCCAGACUCGUAAGGGGGGCAGCAGUGGGGGCAAUUGCACAAUGGGUGAAAGACUGAUGCAGCGACGACGCGUGGGGGAUGAAGGCUGUCGGGUUGUAAACCUCUUUCGCUAUCGAACCGGUAGGUGGAGAAGAAGCGCCGGCUAACUACGUGCCAGCAGCCGCGGUAAUUC
rnacentral:rRNA from 1 species